AGAGUCUCUAGGCAUCCCCUUCGUCGUCCUCCUGCGGAACGGGCUCGGGAACCAUGUCUUCCUGAUCUGAAAUGGUUAAAUAAGGAGUGAGCUACACUAGCCCAGUAAGAACAUCACGAUAUCUCACCGUCACGGAGGUAAAGGUGUGUAGAAAAACACAAAAGACCAAUGGAGCAUAAUUUACAAUAAACUCGUUUAUUAACAUGAAAACCUUUACCAUCCACUUACCUCGGUGGAAUUUAUGAAAACAAUAUAAGAAAAAUAAUAACAUUAUCACAAUCAUGGAAUAAUAUAAGCUGUAAAACAUAGCACUUAUCACGCUUUUUGUAAUUCAAUCAUUAUACAACAUAUCCCUUUCUCAUUUACCAGCCUACUAGUAUCCAUGGGGGUCCCUAGGGGUCACGCUACCCGUUAACCUUUAACAUUCAUAAUCAGUUUCCAGGGCCGUCCCCAUACCCCGUCCGGUAUGGGCGCCAAAACCAUAAACCUCAAUACCCCGUCCGGUAUGAGGGUGAAACGGGCCGUCCCCAUACCCCGUCCGGUAUGGGCGCCAAAACCAUAAGAUCUCCAUACCCCGUCCGGCAUGUGAGACCACAAUCCCGGUAGGGUUCCCUAUGGACCCGGUCGGUCCACCAUCUCCCAGGAUAUCUAGUCAGGCUGACCCCAUCAUACAAUUAUCAGUCUACACAAUGUUUCAUUUCCCUUUUCCUCAAUAAGCAUCAUCAAUUCACAUUUAAACAAGCAAAUCGUAAUUCAUGCCGAACAGACAACAUACAGUAUCAGUUCUUCAGUCAUUCAACCCAUAAUUAAUAAAACAGUAAUAUAUGCAUUCGAAACUAUAAAAUGAACACAUCAAACCCCAUAAUGCAUUUAAAGCUGUAAAACAAGCCAAAUAACAGUAAAUCAUCAAUCACACUAGACUCGGGCUCCAUUAGCAACCUUAAGCAAUUUCACACAUGCGUUAAUUCAAGAAAUACCGUUUUAUCAUUUUGAACUUUAAUACCGUGAUAGGAAAUAGGGUGAGGGGUCCUUACUUGUUUUCGGGAUCCGAAUACGAUUCACAGUGCACCUGCAGGCCGUCCCUAAUUUUCCCUGAAUUUUUCCCGGGGAACUGAAACACACUAACAGUACCUGCACGUGUUCCAAAAAAAAUCCAAAUUAGGCCCAGGGCCCCUUUCGGACCAAAUCGCAACUCCGGCACGGCGGCUCCGCCGUGCUCCGGCGACGGCGCCGCCGCUGGCGGCGGCGAGUCGCCUCGGGUUGGCUAUUUUCGGCCGUUUUCGGCCGAAUUCGGCCACACUCGCAUUGGUCCUUGUUAGAAAACAACCCUAGGGCCCUCGGGGGGCCAAAAAUCACGGAAAAACGGAGCUUACCGGCGGCGGCGCUCUCGGGUACGGCGGCUCUCCGGCGAGGUUUGUGUUUUGGUGAUUCAGCUUCGGUCAACCUGUAGAGAAAAGAAUGGUGAUCACGGUGAUAUAAAAAUUGCAUCGAACGGAGGCCGGGAAGGACCUCGUCGGAGGCAAAAAACCGAGAGGGGCGCGGCGGCGCCGCUGGGUUUCGGCCGCGUAUUCCGGCCGUUUGGCCGGGAUUUCGGCCUCAAUUUGGCCAUAGGAGGAAUCAGCGGAAAAAAACGAGUCGGGGGUAUGAAAUUUACCUCGAUCGGCGGUCGAAGAUUUCUCCGGUGCGGCGGCGGGUGGCGGCGGUCGGCCUCUAGUUCGUCUUCUCCGGCGAGCGGCAGCGGCUAGGGUUUGUGGUCUGGUGUGGGGGUUCUAUUUAUAACCCAUUGCCUUUUGAU
rnacentral:lncRNA from 1 species